rnacentral:tRNA from 1 species
GGUGCUUAGAGCUCAGUGGUAGAGUGCAGUGCUUAACAUGCACAAGGUCCUGGGUUCAAUCCCCAGGACCUCCA